AGAAUGAACGUUGGCGGCGUGGAUUAGGCAUGCAAGUCGAACGGGCCGCAAGGCCAGUGGCGCAAGGGUGAGUAAGGCGACGGUAACCAACCCCGCGGGUGGGCAUAGCCGAGGGAAACUUCGGGUAAUUCCCAGCGAUAUGACGGCCCGGCAUCGGGCUGUCAUCAAAGAUUUAUCGCUGUGGGACGGGCCGUUGUGGUAUUAGCUUGUUGGCGGGGUGACGGCCCACCAAGGCAUCGAUGCCUACCGGGCGUGCGAGCGUGGCCCGGCACACUGGGACUGAGACACUGCCCAGACUCCUACGGGAGGCUGCAGUCGAGAAUCUUCGGCAAUGGGCGCAAGCCUGACCGAGCGACGCCGCGUGGAGGAUGAAGGCCUUCGGGUUGUAAACUCCUGUCGAGGGGGAGGAAGGCGCAAGCUUGACCGAUCCCUGGAGGAAGCACGGGCUAAGUCGCGCCAGCAGCCGC
rnacentral:rRNA from 1 species